GGGGAUGUACUGGUUUCGACGGAGGAAUGGAAAUACUAGUUGCAGUUUAGGGUGAAUCCGCCUAUUAACGGAUUAACAAAAUUUAAACGCUAAAAAUAAUAAAUUAGCAUUAGCUGCCUAAAGUGGCUACAUCAUCAAUUAUCUUCCUGCGGGUAAUUGUAUGGUGUCAAAUUAAUGCAGGAACCCUUUUCUUUUUUCCUCAAGAAGAAAUAAGGUAAUUAGAGGAUCGUUUGUAAUCAGCCUGUCUAUAGGCUCAGUUGCGAACUAAAAACAAUAUAUAGACUAUAACUGUAGAAACUGGUAUGAAAAUUUUUUCGGACAGGGGUUCGACUCCCCUCAUCUCCACCA
rnacentral:tmRNA from 1 species